CAAAAUAGUCGGCAAAGUUUUUUUGAAAAAAACGAAUUACUAUCUCCCUUUCCCUCCUUCCCCCACACUCUCUCUCUAUCCAACUACUGUUCUUCACUGCAACUUUCAGAUGAACCUAUAAACCCUAAUUUCACCACAAUCCAAUACAAAUCAACCACCACGUCAAUCAAAUGAAUGACAUGUUCGGAUCAGUCCGUCGAUCUCUCGUUUUCCGUUCACCGGACGGCGGCGGCGGCGGCGAUCCCGGAACCCUAGUUGACAAAAUCAAUUCAUGUAUUCGCAAGUCUAGGGUUUUCAGUAGAGCGGUAUCGAUCAUUCCGUCACCGCCGAAGGUGAACAAGGAGAAUAAUAUUGAUGAGCAGGUGCCUGUUAUUCGGUGGCGGAGAGGUGAAUUGAUCGGGUGCGGGGCGUUUGGUCAGGUGUAUAUGGGAAUGAAUCUCGAUUCUGGAGAGCUUUUGGCCGUUAAACAGGUUUCUAUUGCUGCGAAUAGCGAUUCGAAAGAAAAGACUCAGGUUCACAUACGGGAACUUGAAGAAGAAGUAAAGCUUCUGAAGAAUCUGUCUCAUCCAAACAUUGUUAGAUAUCUUGGAACAGUACGCGAAGAGCAAACUUUAAAUAUUCUUCUGGAGUUUGUUCCUGGAGGAUCCAUAUCAUCUCUUUUAGGAAAAUUUGGACCCUUUCCGGAAGCAGUCAUAAGAAUGUACACGAAACAACUGUUAUUGGGUCUUGAUUACUUGCACAAGAAUGGCAUUAUGCACAGAGAUAUUAAGGGGGCGAACAUUCUGGUCGACAAUAAAGGUUGCAUCAAACUAGCAGAUUUUGGUGCAUCAAAGCAAGUUGUUGAGCUUGCUAAUGGGUCAGGGGCAAAGUCAAUGAAGGGAACACCAUAUUGGAUGGCUCCUGAAGUUAUACUCCAGACUGGCCAUAGCUUUUCUGCUGACAUAUGGAGUGUUGGGUGUACGGUUAUUGAGAUGGCUACAGGAAAGCCUCCUUGGAGCCAACACUAUCAGGAGGUUGCGGCUCUCUUUUAUAUUGGCACUACCAAGUCUCAUCCUCCUAUUCCUGACCAGCUUUCUUUUGAGGCACAGGAUUUACUGCUGAAAUGUCUACACAAAGAACCUGAGUUGAGGCCUUCUGCUUCUGAUUUGCUGCAGCAUCCUUUUGUGACAGGGAAAUCUCAGCAACAUUCUCUUGUUGGUACUCCUACAACGGAAAGUGUUGAAGCUCUUUCAUCUUCUUGCACAGACGUUUUGGAUCACUCCCGAGGUUCGCUUGAUGUAUGUAAUCUGGGUACUCUCAACAUCUCUACUGUAAAUUCUGGGAAUUGUAAAGAAUGGGUGGCAGAAGACAACGAUAAUAGCAUGCGUCAGGUAGAUGGCAAUGAUUUUACGGAGGAUGGAGUAAAGUUGAGAUCUGUUUCAAUGCUUAAUGACUUUAAGAGUUUCAACCCUAUGGAAGAGCCUUCUGUUGAUGAGACCUAUGUACUGAAAGGACAAGCAACCUUGGAUGGCGAACAGCGGUCUGAUGAACUUGUCAGUAACAUGAACAUAUCUCCUGACAGCUGUACUUCAUUUCAACUUGGCCGAUCCCUCUCUGAGGACUAUGAUGAGCAUACUGAAUCUAAAAUAAGAGCUUUUCUGGAUGAAAAGGCAUUAGAACUAAAAAGGCUUCAAACGCCUUUGUAUGAAGAGUUCUACAACAGUGUAGUCCUUCCAUGCUCAAUGAGCGAUGUUGAUAAUGGAAGUAGUCCAAAUUACUUGAAACUGCCCCCCAAAAGCAGGUCUCCACUUGGUAAAGCAGUUGACGUGGCAAGUAAUGCAAGCCCCGGGAGUGGAAGUAGGCGCACAUCUAUUGUUAGUGGUGAAGAGAACAUUCAUAGUCCUAUGGACCUUUCUUCACCACAGUGUAAUGAUAUCACUGGGCCUGAUACUCAACAGGAAGCAUGCAGUCCCAAUGUGAACUUUUCUGAAGUACAAAGAAAGUGGAAGGAGGAGCUCGACCAAGAGCUUGAGAGAAAACGAGAAAUGAUGCGUGUUGGGGGAAAGACAGGAUCACCGAUAGACAGAGGGUCAAACCGACGGACAAGAUUUGCAUCUCCAGGAAAUUGAGCAGGCGGUUACUUUUUGAUUGUAUACCACCACCACCAGCGGCACCACCAUGCUUGCAUUUGCAACAAGCUAUUAGUAGAGUGUAACUUACAAUGGGUUUGAAGGUGAAUAAGCAUUUUCAAGGUUGUUUGAAAAUGAAAGCUACUUCAUUUCCCGAAUUCAGAGUUCAGACAUAUAUUGCUAUAACCUUUAGAAGGGCGGUUGAAGCUUUUAUGGUAAUCAUGUACGAGCUAUAUGGUGGUAUACAUUAUGAUAAUCCUUUAGCAACAUUCCUGGACGACUCGAAGAAGCUACCUUUAUGAACAUAUAACUACCCUUAUGGGUU